CGGAAAUGUGUUUUUCUUUUCUUUUUUUUUUUCUUUUCAGCCUUUGCGUGGGAAACAAGUUCACCAUGCUGUGCGUGCAUUUCUGAUUCACAGUUUCUACUGUAUGCCUUGUUAUUAUCGCCUGACAUUUGUUCCACCUAAGCCGAGAGCACACCCUUUCCCAUCCGUGCUGUCUGGCAGGCAGCUAAGUGCUAUAGACGAGACAGCACUUACAGUAGAAAAAGCAUUCCUCUUUGGGAGAUCAUAAUUUCCGACGCGUUCGGGACAACCGGGAACUCUGAAUUUUCCAACUCGGAACCUCC
ensembl:lncRNA